UUUUGUGGAGGGUUCGAUUCUGGCUCAGGAUGAACGCUGGCGGCGUGCUUAACACAUGCAAGUCGAACGGGAUCCAUCAGGCUUUGCUUGGUGGUGAGAGUGGCGAACGGGUGAGUAAUGCGUGACCGACCUGCCCCAUACACCGGAAUAGCUCCUGGAAAC
rnacentral:rRNA from 1 species